AUAUAGAUAUAUAAGAGAGAAAGAGGAAGAGAAGAGAAAAAGAAACGAUAAAGAGCGAGGUUUCAAAGUUAAAGAAGACAAAGAAAAGAAAAAGAAGAAGAGAAGAAUUUUGUUCAAUAAGUGAGAAGACACCAGAAAUACAGGGAUAGAAACAGAGAAAAAUAUAGAUAUAUAAUUAAGAAAGGAAGAAAAGAGAAGAAAAGAAGGAACGAUAAAGAGUGAGAUACCCAAUGGGAUAAUAAGUUAUGAAAAAUAAACUAAGUAUAAUAGAUUGAAUUUGACCUUAAUUAUUUGAUUAAAAUUGGCUUUAACGUAAAUUGAAAUUGACUUUGACUUAAUUUGAAAUUAGUUUUAAUUUGGAUUGA